UUUUAAAAAACGUAAAACUGGCGCUCACUUGGAACCAUACACAGAAGUUCAGCAUGGCUUCUGCUCAAGGAUCACACACAAACUGGAGAAGCAUUCCAUAUUUUU
ensembl:snRNA U6 U6 spliceosomal RNA